GUUGCUGUUCACCCCUUUGUACCAAUGCCAACCUACUUUAAUAUCGGUACAGAGUUUUUCAUUUUUUCCUUUCCGACAAACUGAUUUUAAUAAUCCUUUUUUGGAAAAAGUGACAUCUAACUGCCGAGUAUUGACGGUAAACCCUUCUUGGGUUGGGUUGGCUUCCUCUGGCUUGAAUAUGUCUGGUAAUGGAGAAAUAACUUUCCCGUUGAUGACCUUCACACCAGAGUAAUGAGGGGAGCUAUUUUUCGAUCUUUUUAGGACAAAUAUUGCAAAGGACAUAGCUUGUAUUUCUACCGGGAAUAUUGCUUCAAACAUUCCCUUAGCGAUAGUCUUCUGGUUAUACCAGCAAGGAUUGAUCUGGACACCCAGAACCUCUUUAUCAUGUUGAUCGAAAACUUUAAUUGUUGGAGAAUUGACAAUCAAACUGACGUAGUCUUUACGCUUUUGUGUGUACGAAUUAGUGAAGAUAACCUGUGUUCCAGACUCUGAGACUGCGACGGUGCGUUUCUCCAAAGGAUCGGUAGGUUUGGAUUGGAAGUGGAUUGGAGCGAUGUUGAUAUUCGUGUUCGCCGUUUCUUUCAAGAGAAGACUUUCAAUGUCUCUUGAGAUAACCCCUUGAAGUUGGGUAAUGGCGGCGGUAAUCCUGUUUUCAAAAUCCACCACCGUCGGGUGAGCAGAGGUUCCAGUGAUUGCGUCAUGGUGCUGAACCAAACCAUGGGUACGUCUAGCGUCUUGUAAGUUUUUCAGAACAGCUUGUACAUUUUUGUAGGGAUAACCUUGCUGUUCCGCCCGAUACACGGCAAACGAGGUCAACAUCUCGGCUGUUUUUAAAACUUCUAACAGAUACCUUAUCAUGCGUUUGUCAAACGGCCGUGAGGUAUAAUAUCCGCUCCAAUACUCAUCGUCUCGAUCCGUGUAGGUGAAGAAGUCCCCCGUUAGCGAUUUGUCGGGCUGACCAUACUUGGCGAUACUCUUAUGAACUUCGUCAAAAUAUUCACCCACUGUUCCAAAUCGCAUCUGAAUGUUCAGCUCUUUCCUUGAGUUUAUGUGAUCCAUGAGUUUUUUCAUGUUGACGUAGUUCGAUUGGAAUUCGUGAUCCAUUAUGUACCUAAAGUCGUCACCAUGAGGCAUCAGUAGCACGUCAUGCUGAUAGUGCGCUGCCUUUUUUCGGUACUGGUCAGCUACCAUGGAUGCAUACUCGUGAAGAUUCUUGGCUUGCCUACCGCCAUCCCCGAUGGGAAUCGCUUGAUUCUUAUCAUCAGGAAGGCCAGCUCGUCGCCCAAAGUCCAUCACUGCGCACACUUCUUGGUCUGGUCCACAGCUAUACUCAAUGUUAUACAAGGUGUAUGGUUCCACGUGACAUAGAAUGUCGUUUUUCCCCGAUAAGUCCCACGGUUGGCGCCAAUUGAACGUCAUCACGUGACGAUGACCCAUGUACUGCUUUAGUGCACCAUGGACUCGUAAUAUAGUCAUGUCGCUCAUACCAGCUUUAUACCACAAGUAGGGUAAACUAGUGGAAUAUCCAAACGGGUCGAUUGACCAGCUGAUAUUUGGAGUGACACCCAGAAUUUCUUUGAUCCAAAGGUGCCCCUCCACCAGCUGGUCAAUGACAGCGGUGUAGUGAGUGGUGGCCUCGUCUACCGACACCCAUCCCCCGGACAGUAUCUCGAUCCUACCCUGCUUUACCAGAUCCUUGAACUUGUUCUGCAUGUCAAGGGGACUUUCUUUCCACCAUAUAUCCAGAAAUAUGGUCUCUGUCCAUAUCAUUCGGAAGUCUGGGUAUUUCUCAAGGAACAGCACGGUGUUGGUGAGGAUGCUCCGUGUUCUGACCGUGUAGUAGGUCUCUAGGGUCCACAGCCAGCCUGGGUCGUUAUGAGAAUGCGGGACUACAAUGAUUUGUAAUGGUUCGUUGCCUUUCUUCUGAUGUCUCUUAUAUCCCUCGCUCUUCUCGUGAAGAACAUAGAGCCCGCCACUUUUUCUUGUGUUUGUAGUAAAGUUCAUUUCGUCAUACAUUUCCUCCACCAUAUAGUCUGACGUCACUCGCUUGCCAACACAGGAACCGGAAAACACAAGAGUAUCGCCAGCUCCCGGAAAGUUAAACCUUGGAAGAUUCCCAAUCAUUUCAGUCACUGACUUUCUCUGCGAGAGUUUAUAGAGCACCACAAUUGUCAGGGCCACACAAACUAGUGACGUCAGCACCACGCGCUGUCUGAGCUUCAUUGUCCCUCCUGUUCCGACAGCAGUUAUCCAAAAAAGCUAUUCAUUUCCUUUCUUGUCUCAUCUGCAAGGAAGCAGAUAAAACUUAUGUUAUUUCAAACUGUACGUUUCAUUAUAUUCGCACUCGCAUAAUAAAACCGUUCAAAUAUUACGAU
rnacentral:sRNA from 1 species